ACCGGGAUUGCCCUAGUAACGGCGAGUGAAGCGGCAAGAGCUCAAAUUUGAAAGCUGGCUCCUUCGGGGCCCGCAUUGUAAUUUGCAGAGGAUGCUUCGGGAGCGGUCCCCAUCUAAGUGCCCUGGAACGGGCCGUCAUAGAGGGUGAGAAUCCCGUAUGGGAUGGGGUGUCCGCGCCCGUGUGAAGCUCCUUCGACGAGUCGAGUUGUUUGGGAAUGCAGCUCUAAUUGGGUGGUAAAUUUCAUCUAAAGCUAAAUAUUGGCCGGAGACCGAUAGCGCACAAGUAGAGUGAUCGAAAGAUGAAAAGCACUUUGAAAAGAGAGUUAAACAGCACGUGAAAUUGUUGAAAGGGAAGCGCUUGCGAUCAGACUCGCUCGCGGGGUUCAGCCGGCCUUCGGGCCGGUGUACUUCCCCGCGAGCGGGCCAGCGUCGGUUUGGGCGGCCGGUCAAAGGCCCCUGGAAUGUAACGCCUCUCGGGGCGUCUUAUAGCCAGGGGUGCCAUGCGGCCUGCCCGGACCGAGGAACGCGCUUCGGCUCGGACGCUGGCAUAAUGGUCGUAAGCGACCCGUCUUGAAACACGGACCAAGGAGUCUAACAUCUACGCGAGUGUUCGGGUGUCAAACCCGUGCGCGCAGUGAAAGCGAACGGAGGUGGGAACCCCUCGGGGUGCACCAUCGACCGAUCCUGAUGUCUUCGGAUGGAUUUGAGUAAGAGCGUAGCUGUUGGGACCCGAAAGAUGGUGAACUAUGCCUGAAUAGGGCGAAGCCAGAGGAAACUCUGGUGGAGGCUCGCAGCGGUUCUGACGUGCAAAUCGAUCGUCAAAUUUGGGUAUAGGGGCGAAAGACUAAUCGANCCA
rnacentral:rRNA from 1 species